rnacentral:rRNA from 1 species
GACGAACGCUGGCGGCGUGCUUAACACAUGCAAGUCGAACGGAAAGGCCCUGCUUUUGUGGGGUGCUCGAGUGGCGAACGGGUGAGUAACACGUGAGUAACCUGCCCUUGACUUUGGGAUAACUUCAGGAAACUGGGGCUAAUACCGGAUAGGAGCUCCUGCUGCAUGGUGGGGGUUGGAAAGUUUCGGCGGUUGGGGAUGGACUCGCGGCUUAUCAGCUUGUUGGUGGGGUAGUGGCUUACCAAGGCUUUGACGGGUAGCCGGCCUGAGAGGGUGACCGGCCACAUUGGGACUGAGAUACGGCCCAGACUCCUACGGGAGGCAGCAGUGGGGAAUAUUGCACAAUGGGCGGAAGCCUGAUGCAGCAACGCCGCGUGCGGGAUGACGGCCUUCGGGUUGUAAACCGCUUUCGUCUGUGACGAAGCGUGAGUGACGGUAAUGGGUAAAGAAGCACCGGCUAACUACGUGCCAGCAGCCGCGGUGAUACGUAGGGUGCGAGCGUUGUCCGGAUUUAUUGGGCGUAAAGGGCUCGUAGGUGGUUGAUCGCGUCGGAAGUGUAAUCUUGGGGCUUAACCCUGAGCGUGCUUUCGAUACGGGUUGACUUGAGGAAGGUAGGGGAGAAUGGAAUUCCUGGUGGAGCGGUGGAAUGCGCAGAUAUCAGGAGGAACACCAGUGGCGAAGGCGGUUCUCUGGGCCUUUCCUGACGCUGAGGAGCGAAAGCGUGGGGAGCGAACAGGCUUAGAUACCCUAGUAGUCCACGCUGUAAACGGUGGGUACUAGGUGUGGGGUCCAUUCCACGGGUUCCGUGCCGUAGCUAACGCUUUAAGUACCCCGCCUGGGGAGUACGGCCGCAAGGCUAAAACUCAAAGGAAUUGACGGGGCCCCGCACAAGCGGCGGAGCAUGCGGAUUAAUUCGAUGCAACGCGUAGAACCUUACCUGGGUUUGACAUGGAUCGGGAGUGCUCAGAGAUGGGUGUGCCUCUUUUGGGGUCGGUUCACAGGUGGUGCAUGGCUGUCGUCAGCUCGUGUCGUGAGAUGUUGGGUUAAGUCCCGCAACGAGCGCAACCCCUGUUCACUGUUGCCAGCACGUUAUGGUGGGGACUCAGUGGAGACCGCCGGGGUCAACUCGGAGGAAGGUGGGGAUGACGUCAAGUCAUCAUGCCCCUCAUGUCCAGGGCUUCACGCAUGCUACAAUGGCUGGUACAGAGAGUGGCGAGCCUGUGAGGGUGAGCGAAUCUCGGAAAGCCGGUCUCAGUUCGGAUUGGGGUCUGCAACUCGACCUCAUGAAGUCGGAGUCGCUAGUAAUCGCAGAUCAGCAACGCUGCGGUGAAUACGUUCCCGG